GCUGAAUAAUAUAACUCUUGGUCUCUUAUAGGGGACACAGAAUUUUCCAAAUUGCCUUUAAUUGAUGUUGGAGAAUCUAAAAUCAGUGCCAUAGAUUGUCUCUUCUUUGGUAAAGAUGGCAGACAUUCAGAUUUUAUGUGCGAAAAGUACAGCAUGAGCUAAAAUAAGAAUCCAUUUCAAAUAUCUCCCUACUAGAUUUGAGACAAUAUGACAGUACAGUAAAGCAAAAUGAAAAGAAAAAUUGGAAAUGGAGUGUGGCAGAACAUUCCAAAAUAGGCCACUUUGGCAGAGGGGCAAUUUUGAGCUAAAGGCAUUUAAAAACAACAGAUACAAGAGGGAUACUCUAUUCUCCCCUUUUUCUUCUUGGAGACAGGAGAUGAAAAUUCCCAUGUGAGAGAUGCCCUCCCAGCCCCAGAGAAAAAAAGAAAAAAGAAAAAAGAAAAAAAAACCCACAUUCUUCAACAGGGAGUCAUAGCCGAGAGA
rnacentral:lncRNA from 1 species